AUCGCUUCUCGGCCUUUUGGCUAAGAUCAAGUGUAGUAUCUGUUCUUAUCAGUUUAAAAACACUCGGUGUGUUUAUGUUGCGGAUACGUAAAUACAUACAUCCCCCACCUUUCAAAAGUACACCUUGCAUCACUUCCUUUUAACAAAAGGCCUGCCUACAUUAGUAUCCUUUUUUGCUAACUGAAAGAACGCUGAGGAAGAUUUUCA
rnacentral:snRNA from 1 species